CUAGGUUAGGUAGAAAGUUAGAUGAGAAUUGCAAGCAAAAAAAGUUGCAAUUCUUAAUUAAAGGAAGUAGAUUGUUUGUAUAACAGAAUCUCAGAAGUAAUACUUCUAAUGAAGUCUUCAAGCAGCUCACUUUUAUUUAGCAGUUCAAAUGUUAGGUAGUUUCCCAUUGUAACUUGGGCUUGGGGACCAAUGAGGGUAUAUUCCUUUCUUUUUUCCUCUCUAAAACAUCACACCCUAAAGAUUGGUUUAUUCCACAGACAGAAAAUGUUCUAUCAUGUCAUCAUAGAAUCUUAGUUGUGGGUUGGCAAUUGAGUUUGUGAAUGCCGCAAAUCUCAUGUAAGAUCAGUUUUUAUUUUUGAUCAAAUUUUUAUUUUUGUCACUUUAAAUUUAUAAAAUCAGUAAAUUUUUUGGUGAGUAUUUGUGCAGAUCACAAGUUAACAACUUAAUAGUUUGAGAAUUGUCAGGCCAAGUAAUCUCUCCUCCAGCAGAGCCAAACUGCCAAUAAUCUCCAAUUUAGUUGUGCCAGUCUUUGGGUAGCAGCUAUGUAGUCCUAUGCUUGAAGCCUUCCCAUCUGAUCUGUCAAAGCUGGGGUGGCCUCUUUGCAAUGAUAUAUAUGGGAGGAAGAGCUCUGUGAAGAUUAUCUUCACAAUAAUAAGUAAUCUACCUAUAGAUUCCUGCAUGACACUGAUAUUUAUGUCCAUAGAUUCCUGCAUGACACUGAUAUUUAUGUCCAAAAGCCUACUCCAGGAUUAACCAAGGAAUGUGUUUGUGCAUGUAUGUGUUAGUACCUUGGCUUAGAGUUACAAUAACUGAGCAUGCUGGAACUACAGAGACUUUAGAGAAACCGUGCCUUAACUAUUUGUGGAAAUUAUUCCACUCAUCUUUGGAACGGCUACCUUUGAGCUGAAAUGUGAAUAGGUGAGUGCCCUUGUGUAACUUGCUAUACCUAGUCAGCCCCAGUCUGGGUCCUGCUGCUGCAUCCAUAUACCAUUAAAUCUCCUAUGUGUUGUAGGGUCUGAACUUAACACCCAUAAAUUUAGGUAGAUCAUAAUCCUCUGGGGCUGGGCUUAACAUCUCUGGAGAGAAAUUAGGGAAGGUACUAAGGAUUUCUUCAAAGAAGAUCAAAGAAGGUGAUUUUUAGCUCCAUAUAGGAAGUAAGAGUCUGUGAUAGAUAAUUUAGCUAGAUGUAGUGCAUAGUUAUAAUCAAGUCUUUCUUGGGACUCCUGGAUUCCUGGAGCUUCUCAGUUGCUCUGAUGUCUUGGAGGAGUAGGGUUUUGACCUCACAGUCUUGAAUGGUUUCCCAUUUCUAGGGUCAGAAUUAAGAAACGAAGUAUCUAGACCAGAAUACAGUUAUCUUUCCCCAACACAAUAUUCCCCAUUGUAGUUUCAAUAUAUCAUGGGUCUGUAUAAGAAAUUAAAUGGAAAUUGGAGUGGAAGUGGGGUUUGUGGAAGACACAGAUGACAUUCAAAAGCUAGCAGAUGCACGGAAAAAGUUUAGAAAUUGGGAAAUACCUAAAAUAAAAGUGUGGUAUUGUAUAGUAUAGCCUAUGGUCAAAUAACUCAAAACUUACCAUAAGAUAUUAUAAACACUAAAUAAAAUGAAAAUUAAAAAAAAA